UUGCAGAAAGAAAAUUGUUUGUUGGAAUGGUUAGCAAGAAGUUAUGUGAAAAUGAUGUGAGGGCCAUGUUUAGCGCCCACGGGACCAUUGAAGAGUGUACGGUGCUUCGCGAUGCAAGUGGACAAUCGCGGGGUUGCGCCUUCGUUACGUUUGCCAGUAAACAAUCCGCUUUAAACGCAAUUAAAGGACUCCAUCAUUCGCAAACAAUGGAGGGAUGUUCGGCGCCUUUAGUAGUGAAAUUCGCGGACACGCAAAAGGAAAAGGAGCUCAAAAGGCAACAGCAAAUGCAGGCUAACGUUUGGAACGCUUUACAAUCAACCCCCCAGCUACAAACGCAAAUACAGCAGCAGCAGUACGGGACAAUUUUGCCCAGCGAUACGACGUCGUUACAGCUUUUGCAAGCCGUCGGUGGUUCGGCGCUCUUGCAACAGCAGCUGCUGGCCGAAAACUUUUUGGCUCCUAUCGGUGUUCAAAAUUUAGUAACUCUUGCGGCAAUGACUCAAGGGGGAUCGUCCCCUCUCUGUAUGCCUAGUAUUCUUAGUAAAAGUGUAGGUGGUGAUAGGGGACUUACCACUAGCCUUCAACCUAGUAUAACAACAUCGACCGAACUAACAAAUUACGGAUCGUUUCUAAAUAACGCCACACUUGCGGCGGCGGCCGUCGCGGCGGCAGGCAAGCAGAUGGAAGGUCCAGAAGGCUGUAAUUUAUUUAUAUACCACCUUCCGCAAGAAUUCACCGAUACGGACUUAGCUACUACGUUUUUGCCUUUUGGGCCCGUGAUUUCUGCAAAGGUGUUCAUAGACAAACUGACUAAUUUAUCAAAGUGUUUUGGCUUCGUGUCAUUUGAUAACGCGGCGUCGGCCCAGGCCGCAAUAACCGCAAUGAACGGAUUUCAAAUCGGCACGAAGAGGCUCAAAGUGCAGCUUAAAAGGCCAAAGGAUUCGUCGAAGCCAUAUUAACCAAAGAGAAAAAGACAAGAACCGCGCACACCAGGUGCUCCAUUAAAAUUGUUGCACUCGCGUUCGCGGCAUCAUCUCAGGAUCAACUAGCUGCUAUUUAUACGAACUGUGAGAUAUUUUUAAUAGUUAACCGCGGCCCGUGCCGUUUGUAAUAUAAUGACGAACGUGGAGGAUGUUCAAAGUCAUGUUAUGUUUUUGGAGUUGUUUGUUUGGUUCGGGUUUCAAAUUGUAGUGCUAUUCUCUAGCGCGGUAACAGCAGCAGUGCCGUCGUGUGUGGCUUCUGUCUUAUGUCUACUAAUGUACUUGUCUUCAUAUACAGUAAGUGCCUCCCUGUACUAACCACCGCUAAUUCACUAACUGGCUGUAAACUGACGCACCUUUUCUGUGCGAAUUACACAUUACGGACAAAACUACACAAAACACAACACUUUAAUAGCAGUUUCAACAUAGUCCAGUUAAAUGGUGCUUUUGCAGUUUCUUUCAACGGUUUUACUUAUUUUUUUUGGGUGUUGAAUCCGAAUUUAUUACCUUGCAGGGGUCGGCUUAAAUUAAAAAUGCAAAAAAAUAUGCGCUUUUCAAACUGUGUCCAAGAUAAGGAUGUCUUAUCAUGAGGAUCUCCGAAACCUUCGAAGAUACGAAGAUGGUCAAAUUAGGGAAAAAAUGCGUACAAUUAAAGAACUACUAUCAUGCUGUAAAGAAAAUAAAAAAAAUUCCGAUUACUUCGGAAGAUGUCCCAGAAAAUUUGCCGAUUUGGUUUUUAUUUUUUUCUGAUGCGUCAUUUUAGCUUUACAAGCCAGCGAUUUUCAAUACAACGUUUCUUCGGAGAAAUCAUCAACUUUAUUUUUUUAUAAGGCCCAUAAAAAAGUACGUACUGUAUUGAGUACCAUCGGGCAUAUUUUCCAGGAAAUUUAUUUUUGUUCAAUUCAUACUUCAGUGCGCAAAUAUCAAAAACCAAAGUUACUCCUGUAUUUUAUUGAUACUUUGGUCUAUUUUAAUUUUGGAUUUUGGAAAAAGAUUAUAGUUUUCCACAGAAAAAAAAUCGUUUGUUCGGAUUUGGCACCCCAAAUCACGUAAAACCGUCGAGAAAAAAAACUUUGGCAAUUUUGUUUUAAGCACCAAUUGACUGAACCAAUAUAUAUUUGUGCACCUCAAUUUUUCAAUGUUGUAAAAAGUAAAUGUGCUAAUCUCUUAUGUAACCGUUAACGAUGUGUGUAUAAUUUACCUCAAUGUUCAUAUAAGUGUUGAUCGCCAACUUUUAUUGCCUACUUUUGUACAUUAUAUUACAUAUAGUUAUAUAAAUACUGUGAUACUUGUUAUAUCAUUUAAAUAAAGAUUUUUUAUGAUCCCCACUUUAAAAUCAAAUUCUUAUUAGCUCAAGCUCAAAACAUUUAACACAAUUUCCGAAAACAGAAUAACACAAAUUAUUAAACUAAUCCUAAACUAACGGACACGAUGUGCUCAGAGCAGUUUAGACACGAUGUAGUAAUUGUUAAAGUAAACUGCUCCGUGACACUUCGUGCGUGCA